rnacentral:rRNA from 1 species
UACGUAGGUGGCGAGCGUUGUCCGGAUUUAUUGGGCGUAAAGCGCGCGCAGGCGGUUGUCUAAGUCUGCUGUGAAAUCUCCCGGCUCAACUGGGAGGGGCGGCGGAGACUGGGCGACUGGAGGGACCUAGAGGCCGGUGGAAUUCCCGGUGUAGUGGUGAAAUGCGUAGAGAUCGGGAGGAACGACCUGUGGCGAAGGCGGAGCCGGCCUGGGGUACCCU